GCUAAGUUAGUUUAUUUUUAGAAUUUGUAACUUGUAAUUACAAGGAUAUUAUUAGCA
rnacentral:tRNA from 1 species